rnacentral:rRNA from 1 species
AUUGAACGCUGGCGGCAGGCUAACACAUGCAAGUCGAGCGGGGGAAGGUAGCUUGCUACCGGACCUAGCGGCGGACGGGUGAGUAAUGCUUAGGAAUCUGCCUAUUAGUGGGGGACAACAUCUCGAAAGGGAUGCUAAUACCGCAUACGUCCUACGGGAGAAAGCAGGGGAUCCUCGGACCUUGCGCUAAUAGAUGAGCCUAAGUCGGAUUAGCUAGUUGGUGGGGUAAAGGCCUACCAAGGCGACGAUCUGUAGCGGGUCUGAGAGGAUGAUCCGCCACACUGGGACUGAGACACGGCCCAGACUCCUACGGGAGGCAGCAGUGGGGAAUAUUGGACAAUGGGGGGAACCCUGAUCCAGCCAUGCCGCGUGUGUGAAGAAGGCCUUAUGGAUGUAAAGCACUUUAAGCGAGGAGGAGGCUACUUUAGUUAAUACCUAGAGAUAGUGGACGUUACUCGCAGAAUAAGCACCGGCUAACUCUGUGCCAGCAGCCGCCGUAA